rnacentral:rRNA from 1 species
AUGAGCAGCUCGUUGGCGGUUGUGAGGGCAGGCAAGAGGGGGCGGAAUGGUGGCUACCGUUGUGACCCCUCUCCUUCGCGCCGUUCUUCGUCGUCUGGUUCCUGCUCCCUCCCCCACCUCCAGGCCUGCCCCAGGCCGGGACGCGGCCGCCUGGCGUGUCUUUGGGUGUCUCCUCCCGUGGUGUGGAACUACGGGGCAAGGAAGGCUGGCGGGAACCGGUUCAAGGAGCGCCUGGCGGCGUCAACCACAGAAGUCCAGUGCUACAAUUGUGGCUCGAAGGGCCAUUACAUCCAUUUCUCCUCUUUCUGCUUAGCUUGCGAGGUAGAAGGCCACACAUCAACUCAAUGCCCUGGGAAAUUUCUGAAGCGGGAGUUGGUGAUGUAUGGGUUUGGCAUGAGACAACUUGGCUUCUACCUUUGGGAGGGCGGUGUCAAUGUGGAAGAGGUGGUGCCCAACGCGGUCUUCGUGGUGGUUACAGAUGGCGAGGCGACGAUCAAGCAAGUCCAAGGGAAGAGCGGCACCAUCACCUUGCCGAUCAGCAAGCACGAGGCGGAGGUGGAGCCCAGGCCAUCUCUUGGCUCAAGGAGGCGUGGGUUCGGGUUCAUGGGGUGUCCGACAAGCUUUGUCCAGUGCCUCUCGUCAAGGAGUUCCUCCGUGUUGUUGAGAAGAUCAGAGGCAAUUUUGAGAUUUUUCGAGGCAAGGGGGCUUCAUCAUGUGCAUGGAGAUCUAGAAGGGCGGGCCUCCUCCUCGCUCAGGGCUGGACACCCCAGCACGUCCACGCCCGCUUCCGAAGACGACGGUUGCAUCACCAUGGAGUGGACACCGCCAGUCGAAAAGGAAAGUCAUCGGCCUCCUCUGAUGCUCACCAGCGGGUGUGGCCUCAGGCCAGCCGCAACUGCAGGUUGCGGCUAUCUCAUUCCCGUCGUUUAUCCAUGGGGGUCCUGUUCGUCCUUGCCUUCCCCUCCCUCCACCGGCUUUGACAUCUCACACGGAGUUGCCGCCGGUGGUCCCUGGUCGCUCGCUUCGUCUUCACUCUGGGUUGAUGUCGCCCCCGCACCCAUCGUCUCUCCUGUUGUGGUUGGAGCCCUAAAACUUUGUGAGGAGGCCUCUCGCUCUGGCUCGGCGCUGCUAUCGCCUCUGGAGGGCGUCGCUGGUUCUGUUUUACUGGUGACGACGGUGGCUUCCCCUGCCUCGGUCCCCAUCUCCUCUGCGGGCUCCCCUUGCCCUACGAUUCCGACAACUACCAACCCCUUUCUCUCCACGGCAGCCUGUGCUUCGGUUGCGAGACCGGGCCCGAUGACCAUGGAGCCUGUUUCGCUCUUGGAUCGCUUAGAGGGAGAAGCCAUCCUGGACUCCGUCCUGCCUGCGGAGGACUACCUUAAGGCCCAGGACCUGCUCGCGCCCACAGAGGAGUUUGGGGAGGGGCUGGACUCCAACCUCCCAUCGCUCCCCCCUCGUCCUCCAGGAAGAGCUCCCGCACAAGGAAGCUCGGCGAUGGCUACAUGGAAACUGGAGCCCUCGGGGCAAUUCUCUACGGGCUCCCUCUAUAAGGAAAUCUUUAGGAACCAUGCGUGUUACUCGAAGCCACCGGCUACCGUCUUGGACUCCAGCUUGCUCUCUUCUACUUGUACAAAUUCUGCUCAAGACCCCGAGAAGGCCCUGAUAGAAGUGGGACCGUCUCUUCUGAGCUUUGAAGUCCCGACUUGGAGACAGUUGGUGAGGCAUGGGGAGGAAUUACUGUUGCUUGACCACUUAUUGGACACCAUGCGAGCUAGGCUUGUCAGCACAACUCCACCUAGGCUGUUCUUCAUGCUUUGGGUGAGGAUGCUUUUUGCUGAUACGGUGCAGAAAGCUAUCUCUUCAGAUAUUCUUGAAGAGAGAAAGAGAGAUAUGAAACUGAAUCCCGUCGCCACCCAAAAUAAGAAAAAGACAAGAAAAAAGGAAACCCUCGCGCCAAUUGCCUCCGUCGCCUCCCCCCGACGACGUGCUCAUGGAGAUCCUUCUCCGCCUUUGUUUCCAAGCACUGGCGUAGCCUCAUCCACGACGGCCGCUACCUUUGGCGGCUUCGCGGCGUCCACAGCUGCCAAGAUGUCCCAUGACGACUGGGCGUUCCUCGUCUGGGACCUCGUGACCGGCCGCCGGCGCCACCUGGAGCUCCCCACGCAGGCCUGUCAAGGGAAAUUCGACUAUGGGGGACAGUUCUCUGCGGGGCCGGCUGACUGCCAUUCCUGCCCGUUGCUUAUCGCACUCGUUUCCCUAGUCAACGUGUUGGCAGCGGCAGUGGCAGAGGGAGCUCCUAUUGAGCGCUUUAAGCGCCGCCGAAGUAAACCGGCGCCUACAGCAAACGACAAGUGGGCCGGCCGACGAAUGCACCUGCGCAGAAAUUGUUUCGCAAAAAAAAGACCCACAAAAACCAGAGAGUACGAGGGCUUGACCUCAGGUCGCUUCUUGGAGCGCUUUAAGCGCCGCCGAAUCAACGUGUUGGCAGCGGCAGUGGCAGAGGGAGCUCCUAUUGAGCGCUUUAAGCGCCGCCGAAGUAAACCGGCGCCUACAGCAAACGACAAGUGGGCCGGCCGACGAAUGCACCUGCGCAGAAAUUGUUUCGCAAAAAAAAGACCCACAAAAACCAGAGAGUACGAGGGCUUGACCUCAGGUCGCUUCUUGGAGCGCUUUAAGCGCCGCCGAAGUAAACCGGCGCCUACAGCAAACGAUUCAAAUGAACAAAAAACAUAUGCACUCGUCUGCUCGGCUGAUUCAAAUGAACAAAAAAUGCACGUUCGUUUGGGUCAUCAUGUUGGCGUUGCUCUAAGUUCCCUAGUCUUUUCUUUUUCUUUUGAUCAUAUACACAAAAGUUCCCUAGUCAACGUGUUGGCAGCGGCAGUGGCAGAGGGAGCUCCUAUUGAGCGCUUUAAGCGCCGCCGAAGUAAACCGGCGCCUAGAGCAAACGACAAGUGGGCCGGCCGACGAAUGCACCUGCGCAGAAAUUGUUUCGCAAAAAAAAGACCCACAAAAACCAGAGAGUACGAGGGCUCGACCUCAGGUCGCUUCUUGGAGGCAUCGUUCAGCUAA